CUCUUCGUCCCCUCACCUGCCUCUCAUCUGUCAACCCAUUCAGAAACUGUUCGUCUCCCCUGAAACUGAAGGACGUGGAGGAUCUACAACCUAAAAAAUCAGGCAAGAAAUUCCCCAAUGCCAUCACCAUCUACACGAGUCACGCGUCCGCCGCCACAUGUGUCAUCACCAUCUGCAAGCAUGAUAGAUGAGAUUAUUGAGGAGGGAACUUUGAAUGGAAGAAGGGCGCCAUCGCCUUCAUUCUAUAUAAGAAAUCGUUGUUAAUGAAAAUUUAAAUAUUGUAAUGGUGAUUUAAGGCUUACUUAGUCAUGUGUUUUUAUAGCACAAUGUUUGACUACUACUCUAUCUUUGUGCAAGUAGCAAUGAAGUGAUAGCCAAUGUAAAAGAAGUUGGUACGAGAAUAACAAAUGAGAUAAAGAGGGACAUUGGUCAGCAAUGGAAAAACUUGUCGAACAAAGACAGGCAAAAGUACAAACAUUUGGCUAAGUUGUCCAAAGAGGACCUUGCCAAGUAGAAAGCUUUACUUCCUCUAAAACCCAAAAAAAGAAAGUUAUAGAACCGUAUUUCCUUAAAGUCCAUUGUUGGAAUAGUACAAAAGUUAAGCACAGAUCAACGCCUUGCUGUUGAGCUUAUUGGGUUGGGUGGAAUAUUGGAAUUGAGGUGUACAGUUCUUAAUCAUCUGCUAUGUAACUGAUUGGUAAAAAAUUUUGAUCCUAAAACUCGUUCACUGAUUGUUCAUGGCCAGAAAUUCCUUCUCACUGUUGCCCACGUUCAUGAGUGCUUGGGAAUUAAUGCACAAAGCAAGCUUAUUGACUUGGAGGUGAAUAUGUUGGAUGAAUUUUCACAACUUUGUGAAAACAUAGGAAUGACGAAAGGGGUAGUCCAAUUGAAAGAGCUGAGAGAGUACUUGGAGGGAACAGAAGAAGUAGGUGAUGUUUUCAAGAGUAAAUUUGCCUUGUACAUCUUGGGAUGUUUUUAUGCCCAACCACAAAGUCGGGUGUUACUCGAUCCAUUAUUAAUGGUGUUAGUGAUGUUGUGGCAAUGGGUAAUCAGAAUUGGACGAACCUGACCCUCGACUUUUUUUGCAAGGGUUUUCUACUUCGAUUGUGUCUCUCCAAGUCCUACAGUUAUGCCUUACGUUAGAAAAUUUCAGUCCUUAGUUCAUUGGGGUGAUAUUGAAAUUAAGAACAUCUUGCACGAAUUUGAAAAAAUUGGAGGUUAUGACAGUUAGAGGGUGGUAGUUCAUUUUACACUGGAUGAAUGGACGAAGGUGGAUGAAAAAACCAGUGGCAAUGAAGUCGGCGUGUCCCAAAUUUCAUUUGGAGAUGUAAGUGUGAUGACAAGUACUUUCACAACAGUAGCACGUCUCUUGCUUCGUCAAAAUAUGAUACUGGCGAAGCACUUUGGGUUUGAAAUGUUGUCUGAUUUGCAAGCACAAAUUGCUCAAGAAAUGGACCUCAAGCAUGGCCUUGAAGGACAAUCCUCUCACCUCCUCAUGCAACUCAUGGGAUUAUAUACAUGUCAAACUUCAACAUUGAACAAGUUUGAAACCCACGAUCCUAUGCUUAACCAAUCGAAGACUGUCUCAACAAAUCCAAUUCAAGCGAGUCACCUUGCCUCUGAAAUGUUGUCUAAGCCGCAAUGGCAAGAACAACCACCACCACAAAUGGCUCAAGAAAUGGACCUGAACUAAUCAGUCAUCCUUGAACAAGAAUCCUCUCCAUUCUUUACGGGAGUACAUACAUGUGAAACUUCAACACAUAACGAGUUGAAAACCCUGAUUCUGCGCUCAACAAAUCCAAGGCUGUCUACGACAUGCCGACCUCUUGUUUCGAUCAAUAUAACAUGGGGAUUGACACUCAAAAUGAAAGGAUAGAAAUGGACAUGGAUGAGGAUGUAGUUUCACCUUCACCGGUAUCGGGCUUUAAGUCACGUGGUGGUUCGAGUAGAGGUACUGACACUCGAAGGAGGAAGAUACAACAGGACAUAGAUGUGGUUGUAGGUUCACCGUCACUGGUAUCGGGCUUUAAGUCGCAUGCUGGUUUGAGUAGGGGAAGGAAAAAAAAAGUUGGCCUUUGGAAAACCUGUCAUGUCCUUUUGUGUUAAUGAUAAUGUAGAAGUCAAUGAUGAACCACGACGGUUGUGACAGCGUGCUGAGUUGAAGAAAAGCAAGUUCCAGCAUUCUCUGUCUACGAACGACGGUCUUAAGAAGAGGAAUCCUCCGAAAAAUAAAAAUCAAGCAAAAACUCAGUCAACGAUUAUCGCGGAUCAACAUGAAAUUGUGGACAACAUUGAUAACAACGUUCCCAUUGGGUGUAUCUUAAUAUCAUUUACAUUUAUUGUCCUUUUAUGUACGGUGUAUUUCCAAUUCAUGGUUGUGAUAUUUAAUUUCCUGUUCAAUUCAAUAGUUUCGUGGACUCUAUGGAAAAUUCAAGUCUUUGAAGUUUGCUGGUGUUAUACAGGAGUUGAAUCCACAAAGCAAGGUUAUUACUCACUCCCAAUUCCCCUUGUCCAAUGUAGUAUCAAGUCUAACCCAUUCUUGUUUUGUAUUUGUUUAUUGUCUUGUCUUGUAUAGCCGUAUAUUCGAGAAAUGGUAGAUUCUCCAACAUACCCAACCCCAAAACCCUUAAAUGACCAUGAAAAGUUGUUGAUGGUGUUCAUUUUUUAUCCUUGUGAUCCAUUUACUGGGGAUGCUUACGUGCACUUAAAAAUGUUUGGAAUUGAAAGAUUCUUUGCAACCCGGUAUGAUUUGUGCAGCUUGAAACCCAAAGUAUGGAUAUUGGACACGGUUUGUGUGAUAUGAUUUUGCCACCUGGUUGAAGUAUUUAAUUUAUUAUGAUUUAUUUGCAUUUUAGUCCAAUGUGGUUACCUAUGUAUGAUUGUAAAUUAUAAAUUUGGUACCUGUGCAAACGACAAAUGAGGAAAGGUCCAACCAUCUAGACAAGCGCCACUUUAUGUGGUAUUUGCUGGUUAUUGUAUCGGUUAGUAUAAUUACUUUCCCAUAAUUAAUUUCCCCUUGUCCCCCUUCUAUCCUCUAGUAUUGGCAUUGUUUAUGUUUCCUGUAAUUUUGUAGAGGCAAAUAUUAGGCAAUCCCAACCUCAAUGAUUGUGAUUUGAAGAAGUUAUGUGAUAGUUAUUUUGGAGAUGCAAAUUUUACUGCUGACCUUAGCUCAUGCUCCACAAUAUACAUACCAACAAAUGAUCGUGGGAACCAUUGGUUUUGCAUCAAAGUAGACCUGGGCAUCCAGAUGGCUUACAUUUUCGAUUCGAAGCCGGCCACUUGAUCCAAUUUGUUUCGUAAGUGACUGACAAAAAA